CCCACAAGAACAGGGUUACCCUUCAAAUGCUGGUGGCACUGCAGGUUGCAAAUCAGAGAGCUGUUCUCCUCUGGGAGUUUAGCAUGUGAAAGAAAGGUCAUGCAUGGUAAAGCUGACCAACAGAGAAAAAUGGAUGUGUGUGUGUGCACAUACACUAGAAGAGAGUCUUUGAGGAUGUAUGCCUUCAUUUAAAAAAAAAAAAAAAGAUAUUUAGAUUUUUAGAGAUAUUAAGUGAGUACUCUGUGUGUGAAGAUAUAGAUAUCAACUUUUCAGAGCUUUUUUCUUUUUUUUUCUUUUUUUUUCUUUUUUUUUUUUCCCUCGGACAAAGGAGGAGUUCUUGUCUUAUGUUCACACUGUGUCCCUCAGAGACUCUCAUGCAAAAAAACAGCAUGACAAGAAGGGGAAAUUUUUCUUUAUUUUUUGUUAGUGCUGAUGAAGUCUUCGGGGAUUCAAAAUAUAGAAUUGAAUGAGAAUGCUGGGAGCUUCCCAGGAGAGGCACAGAGGAGGCUGCUCAGCUCUUUGUUACUUCUCCUGGGUUUUCCUCUGCACCGCACUGGUUCACUGAGAGCCCAUUCCAUUACGUUGAGGGACUGUAUACACAGAUGUACACAGAGUGGGGACGAUGAGAUUCAGAAUAAAAUACCAUACCAAGUGAUUGCAGCCUCUAAUGAGACAGAACUACUGUCCUCUUCACAGCUCCUUGCAGCUGAUCCAACAGAUAGAUCUUCGACCUUCACAUCUCAUUUUGAUCCUUUCUGCCACAUCUGUGCCGAGGCGUUGCUGUAUGUACUUUGAGUGUGACUCUUCACAUCCUGGAAUGGUCAGAACUUCUUAGAGCCGAGAAGAUAGGAAGAAGAUGCAGCAAAAUGAUUUUAAAAGCUUGGGAACUUCCUUUUAAAUUCUAAUGUGAAAGAGUUUUCCUAUUGAGCACACACACAUGGCAGUACAAUCCGUUUGUACACGCUUUACCGGUAACUGAGGCAUCAUAGCAACCCAUAUAUCAGUCAUGCCCAUGUGAACAAGCCUGCUGUCAUUUCCACUGGAGACACAUUUCUGGGUUUUCUGGGCUUCCUUAAAGCUGACUACGUUUAAGAGUUCAGGAUUGUGAUGUGCCACAAAAUGUUUUGAUGACAAAUAUCCAUUUAAAAAUUUAUUUUAACUUUUUGGCUGAUAUAAAGAAGAUCUAAUCAUAAACACCCUGGGUGAUGAGAGCAGCAGCAGUCCUUCUUUUUUUUUGGUCCAGCAGCUCUGUAGUUUCUAGAUCUAAGCCCCUAUAGAAAAUAAAAUGUCACUGAAGAUUGGAAUGACUUCA
rnacentral:lncRNA from 1 species